rnacentral:misc_RNA from 1 species
CUGAGAUAGGGUUCUUUUGAGCCCGACCUCCAACCCUUUGCUUAAAUUACCUUGUUGCUUUGGCAGGCCCGCUCUUUACGGGCCGCCGGAGACGUUUAGUCGUCUCUGGCCAGUGCUUGCCAGUAGCCAAUUCAAAUUCUUUUUAACUAUGUCGUCUGAAUAUUAAAACAAAAUUUAAUUA